GGAGUGGCGGAGCUAUACAUGCAGUCGAGCGGACAGAUGGGAGCUUGCUCCCUGAUGUUAGCGGCGGACGGGUGAGUAACACGUGGGUAACCUGCCUGUAAGACUGGGAUAACUCCGGGAAACCGGGGCUAAUACCGGAUGGUUGUUUGAACCGCAUGGUUCAAACAUAAAAGGUGGCUUCGGCUACCACUUACAGAUGGACCCGCGGCGCAUUAGCUAGUUGGUGAGGUAACGGCUCACCAAGGCGACGAUGCGUAGCCGACCUGAGAGGGUGAUCGGCCACACUGGGACUGAGACACGGCCCAGACUCCUACGGGAGGCAGCAGUAGGGAAUCUUCCGCAAUGGACGAAAGUCUGACGGAGCAACGCCGCGUGAGUGAUGAAGGUUUUCGGAUCGUAAAGCUCUGUUGUUAGGGAAGAACAAGUACCGUUCGAAUAGGGCGGUACCUUGACGGUACCUAACCAGAAAGCCACGGCUAACUACGUGCCAGCAGCCGCGGUAAUACGUAGGUGGCAAGCGUUGUCCGGAAUUAUUGGGCGUAAAGGGCUCGCAGGCGGUUUCUUAAGUCUGAUGUGAAAGCCCCCGGCUCAACCGGGGAGGGUCAUUGGAAACUGGGGAACUUGAGUGCAGAAGAGGAGAGUGGAAUUCCACGUGUAGCGGUGAAAUGCGUAGAGAUGUGGAGGAACACCAGUGGCGAAGGCGACUCUCUGGUCUGUAACUGACGCUGAGGAGCGAAAGCGUGGGGAGCGAACAGGAUUAGAUACCCUGGUAGUCCACGCCGUAAACGAUGAGUGCUAAGUGUUAGGGGGUUUCCGCCCCUUAGUGCUGCAGCUAACGCAUUAAGCACUCCGCCUGGGGAGUACGGUCGCAAGACUGAAACUCAAAGGAAUUGACGGGGGCCCGCACAAGCGGUGGAGCAUGUGGUUUAAUUCGAAGCAACGCGAAGAACCUUACCAGGUCUUGACAUCCUCUGACAUCCUAGAGAUAGGACGUCCCCUUCGGGGGCAGAGUGACAGGUGGUGCAUGGUGUCGUCAGCUCGUGUCGUGAGAUGUUGGGUUAAGUCCCGCAACGAGCGCAACCUUGAAUCUUAGUUGCCAGCAUCAGUGGGCACUCUAAGGUGACUGCCGUGACAACCGGAGGAAAGGGUGGGGGGAAUGAACGUCCAAUC
rnacentral:rRNA from 1 species